CCUACGGGAGGCAGCAGUGAGGAAUAUUGGUCAAUGGGCGAGAGCCUGAACCAGCCAAGUCGCGUGAGGGAGUACUGCCCUAUGGGUUGUAAACCUCUUUUGUCGGGGAGCAAAAGCCGGACGUGUCCGGCUGUGAGAGUACCCGAAGAAAAAGCAUCGGCUAACUCCGUGCCAGCAGCCGCGGUAAUACGGAGGAUGCGAGCGUUAUCCGGAUUUAUUGGGUUUAAAGGGUGCGCAGGCGGAGUUUUAAGUCAGCGGUAAAAUCGUGGGGCUCAACCCCAUCCAGCCGUUGAAACUGGGGAUCUAGAGUGUGCGAGAGGUAUGCGGAAUGCGUGGUGUAGCGGUGAAAUGCAUAGAUAUCACGCAGAACCCCGAUUGCGAAGGCAGCAUACCGGUGCACAACUGACGCUCAGGCACGAAAGCGUGGGUAUCGAACAGGAUUAGAUACCCGUGUAGUC
rnacentral:rRNA from 1 species